rnacentral:rRNA from 1 species
UACGGAGGGGGCUAGCGUUGUUCGGAAUUACUGGGCGUAAAGCGCACGUAGGCGGCCUGUUAAGUCGAACGUGAAAUCCCCGGGCUCAACCCGGGAACUGCGUCCGAUACUGGCAGGCUUGAAUUCGGGAGAGGGAUGUGGAAUUCCAGGUGUAGCGGUGAAAUGCGUAGAUAUCUGGAGGAACACCGGUGGCGAAGGCGGCAUCCUGGACCGAUAUUGACGCUGAUGCGCGAAAGCCAGGGGAGCAAACGGG